rnacentral:rRNA from 1 species
GUGAGGAAUAUUGGUCAAUGGGCGGGAGCCUGAACCAGCCAAGUCGCGUGAAGGAAGAAGGAUCUAUGGUUCGUAAACUUCUUUUGCAGGGGAAUAAAGUGCAGGACGUGUCCUGUUUUGUAUGUACCCUGAGAAUAAGGAUCGGCUAACUCCGUGCCAGCAGCCGCGGUAAUACGGAGGAUCCGAGCGUUAUCCGGAUUUAUUGGGUUUAAAGGGUGCGUAGGUGGUUUGAUAAGUCAGCGGUGAAAGUUUGCAGCUUAACUGUAAAAAUGCCGUUGAAGCUGUCGGACUUAAGUGUAAAUGAGGUAGGCGGAAUGCGUGGUGUAGCGGUGAAAUGCAUAGAUAUCACGCAGAACUCCGAUUGCGAAGGCAGCUUACUAAGCUACAACUGACACUGAAGCACGAAAGCGUGGGGAUCAAACAGGAUUAGAAACCCUGGUAGUCC